rnacentral:rRNA from 1 species
GAGUUUGAUCAUGGCUCAGGAUGAACGUUGGCGGCGUGCCUAACACAUGCAAGUCGAACGGCAAUAGCAAUAUUGGAGUGGCGCACGGGUGAGUAACACGUAGCUCAUCUACCUCAAAGCGCGGGAUAACGUGUCGAAAGACAGGCUAAUACCGCAUAAGCUCGCGAUCUGUAGAGGAUUGCGAGAAAAGGCUUCGGUCACUUUGAGAUGAGGCUGCGGCCCAUCAGCUCGUUGGUGAGGUAACGGCUUACCAAGGCGACGACGGGUAGGGGACCUGAGAGGGUGACCCCCCACACUGGGACUGAGACACGGCCCAGACUCCUACGGGAGGCAGCAGUGAGGAAUAUUGCACAAUGGGCGCAAGCCUGAUGCAGCGACGCCGCGUGGGUGAAGAAGGUUUUUCGGA